rnacentral:rRNA from 1 species
UACGCAGGUGGCAAGCGUUGUCCGGAUUUACUGGGCGUAAAGGGAGCGUAGGCGGAUACUUAAGUGGGAUGUGAAAUACCUGGGCUUAACUUGGGUGCUGCAUUCCAAACUGGGUGUCUAGAGUGUUGGAGAGGAAAGUGGAAUUCCUAGUGUGGCGGUGAAAUGCGUAGAGAUUAGGAAGAACACCAGUGGCGAAGGCGACUUUCUGGACAAUAACUGACGCUGAGGCUCGAAAGCGUGGGGAGCAAACAGGAUUAGAUACCCUGGUAGUCCACGCCGUAAACGAUGGGUACUAGGUGUAGGAGUUAUCGACUCCUCCUGUGCCGCCGUUAACACAAUAAGUACCCCGCCUGGGGAGUACGGUCGCAAGAUUAAA